UCGCAACGGUUCUGGGCGAUAGGGGCCGUUUUUGUCCCCCUUCUUCAGCAGAUGAGGGAAUUUGUUUCAAAAAGUUGUUACCUGCUCACGGAAACAGACGUCCUAAGCUAUUAGCACAAUCUCCAGCUGUGCUAAUCAAGACAGGAACCGAAGGGAACAGUAAAAAAUCAUUUUCCAUAAGUAAUGGGUAACUUAAGAGAUAAGGUAGUGUUUCAGAAACAGUCUUGUCCUUUUGGUGCUCAGGGACCCCCGCUAGAACUCAGCUGGCUCACGCUUGUUUACCUCCCUAGACCCAGGACCUUUUUUAUUCCCUGCCAAAAAAAAUACCUUACUUGACCGAUGUCACCCUUUGUGGCCCUCUACGUUUUUACUAUAUUGUUUAAAAAUAAAUUUGAUGGGAACAUUGCUAGAAAGGGCAAUUUACACAAGUGGAAGUGGACUUUAUAAAGUAUCACAAUGUUAAAAUUAGAUAUUGAUAACUACCGUGUUGUAUAAUAGAAUAUCCUUUUCCUUAAGAGAAAAACACAAGGGAUAGGGAAACACCGCAUGCUCCCUACUCUCAGAUGGUUAGGGAGUAACAUGUAUGUGUAUGUAUAUGUAGGUGGGGAAAAGAGAGGGACAAAGCAAAAUGGCGAAUGUUUAAAAGUACUGAAACUAGGUAUGGUAGUUCUAAGAUAUGUUCACAGAUUCAAUGAUAUUCCUCCCUGGAAGAGGUGGACUCUAAUUCCCCUCCCCUUGAGUGUAGACUAGGCUUAGUGACUCUUGAUAGAUCAAAACAGAAGUGGCAGUAUUGACUUCAGAGGCUAGGUCAUAAAAGGCACUGCAUCUUCCUUUGCGGGUCUCUUUUUCAUUCAUUUUGGGGCUUGGAGCCUGGGGAAGCCUGCUUCCGUGUUUUCAGGACACUCAAGCAGCCUAUGGAGAGAUCCAGUUGUCCAGGAACUGUAUGUAGCCUCCUACCAAAUGCCACGGAGUGAGUCACUUUGGAAGUAGAUCCUCCAACCUUGGUCAAGCCUUUGGCUGACUACAACUUCAUGAGAGACCUAGAGAGAUGGAGUUUCGCGAUGUUCGUCAGGCUGUUCUCAAACUCCUGACCUCUGCUGAUCCGCCCGCCUCUACCUCCCAAAGUGCUGGGAUUACAGGUGUGAGCCACUGCACCAGGCCUACUGCACUCCUUCUUGUGUGACAGAGUGCUGCGCUGGGUCUUUUUCUUUGGAAUUUUAAGAAGUUCUGUGAGCUGAAGACCAAUGACUUCCUACAAAUCUUGAAGGACUCCAGGACUCAUCACCAUAGCAGACCAUGCAUCCUUUUUAAGAUGCUUGAUGUCCAGGACUUUGAAACAGCUGAUUUCUUUUUAACCACCUCUCAAUAGGAUUCAUGGAAAAAACUCUGACAAGCACAGAUUUCUGAAAACUUUAAGGUCAUACCACUGGACUAGGUAAAGAAGAUAAAAUUUGGGAGCUUAAAACUUGGCAAAGAAGGAAAUCCUUUUGGCAAUAUCAUAAAGAGGCCCAUUAUCACCAGAAAAGAAGUGUAUAGUUUCUAACAGAUUUAUACAUUGGAAGUUGAUUUUGCUCCUAAUUUCAACAUGCCUAAUGAAAUAAAUAAUCAAAACAGUCUAAAAUUCUUCCUCCUCUCUGCCUCCUGCAAAAAGACAGCGUCUGGUAUUGUCCACCCAAGCUGGAGUGCAGUAGUAUGAACUUGGCUCACCGCAACCUCUGCUUCCUGGGCUCAAGCCAUCCUUCCACCUCAGCCUCUCAAGUAGCUGGGACUACAGGCUCACAUAACCACACCCUACUAAUUUUUGUAUUUCUUGUAGACAUGGGUUUUCAUGUUGCCCAGGAUGGUCUCAAACUCCUGAGCUCAAGCGAUCUGCCUGCCUUGGCCCCCCAAAGUGUGAAGAUUACAGGCAUGAGCCACUGCACCUGGCUGAUUUAAUAAAAUAUCUUGUAAUC